UACAGAGGGUGCGAGCGUUGUUCGGAAUUACUGGGCGUAAAGCGUGCGCAGGCGGUUUUGUAAGCCAGAUGUGAAAGCCCCGGGCUUAACCUGGGAAUGGCAUUUGGGACUGCAAGGCUUGAGUGCGGCAGAGGAGACUGGAAUUCCUGGUGUAGCAGUGAAAUGCGUAGAUAUCAGGAGGAAUACCGAUGGCGAAGGCAGGUCUCUGGGCUGACACUGACGCUCAUGCACGAAAGCGUGGGGAGCAAACAGGG
rnacentral:rRNA from 1 species